GGAGAACACCUUUGGAAACACUGAAGCGGUUGAAUAUGGAGGACUUUGUUAAACUAAAGUUAACAGAACGGCAACUUCUUGAGCUGAUUGACACUUUUGCAGAUUGUGCAGGACUUCGAGGUUCUUCAUAAAGAGGCAUCAGACUAAAUCUUUGACCUGGAGGAGGUUCAGCGGAAG